rnacentral:rRNA from 1 species
GACGAACGCUGGCGGCGUGCUUAACACAUGCAAGUCGAACGGAAAGGCCCUGCUUUUGUGGGGUGCUCGAGUGGCGAACGGGUGAGUAACACGUGAGUAACCUGCCCUUGACUUUGGGAUAACUUCAGGAAACUGGGGCUAAUACCGGAUAGGAGCUCCUGCUGCAUGGUGGGGGUUGGAAAGUUUCGGCGGUUGGGGAUGGACUGGCGGCUUAUCAGCUUGUUGGUGGGGUAGUGGUUUACCAAGGCUUUGACGGGUAGCCGGCCUGAGAGGGUGACCGGCGACAUGGGGACUGAGAGACGGCCCAGACUCCUACGGGAGGCAGCAGGGGGGAAUAUUGCACAAUGGGCGGAAGCCUGAUGCAGCAACGCCGCGUGCGGGAUGACGGCCUUCGGGUUGUAAACCGCUUUCGCCUGUGACGAAGCGUGAGUGACGGUAAUGGGUAAAGAAGCACCGGCUAACUACGUG